rnacentral:lncRNA from 1 species
GGGAGGCUUGGAGCGGUUGAGGUAACUCUUUGCGUGGUUUUUUUCUGUUAAAAUUUAAUGCUAUUAGAUCCCAAAAGGAAAGAGGUCGGUCCAAACCUCUAAAAUGAGAUUUUGAUUAGCAAUUUUGCUUUGUUAGAAUUACUUGCCACUUUUUCUUUUUUUAUCAUAUUUAGAGAUGGUUGGUAUUUUUAUUAUUAUAGUUGUCACCAUAG